rnacentral:rRNA from 1 species
UGGCGGACGGGUGAGUAACGCGUGAGAAGUCUGCCUUCAGGACGGAGACAACAGUUGGAAACGACUGCUAAGCCCCGAUGAACCGAAAGGGAAAAUAUUUAUAGCCUGAAGAUGAGCUCGCGUCCGAUUAGCUAGUUGGCGGAGUAAAAGCCCACCAAGGCGACGAUCGGUAGCUGGUCUGAGAGGACGAUCAGCCACACUGGGACUGAGACACGGCCCAG